rnacentral:lncRNA from 1 species
AUGGUUCUGGAUCUUCAAGUGGCUUACCAGAAACCAAUGCUAGCUUAUGGUGCUGUUCCAUCGGAAAAUCUGCAGGCUUGGCGCCUAAUAAACCUGUUUCAUCAAUAAUUUCCAACGCAUAUUUUCUCUGGCAUAGAUAGAUUCCCUCGUGAUUACGAGCUACCUCCAGCCCCAAAAAAUAUUUCAAGACUCCCAGAUCCUUCAUAUGAAAGCAUACACCUAAGUAAGCUUUAAAAAUUUUCAAGGCUGCAAUAUCAUUCCCUGCUAUAAUCAAGUCAUCCACAUAAACUAGCACGUUGAUCUGUAUUUCUCCCCUAUGCAAAGUAAAGAGUGAGUAAUCUGAAUAGGAUUGAAUAAAUCCAUAUCGCUUCAAUGCCGUUACCAACUUAGCAAACCAACAACGAGGAGCUUGUUUCAAACCGUACAAUGACUUUUUCAACCUGCAAACUAGAUUU